CCUUUCUGUCUGGUUCUGUUGAACGCAAACGACAUCUGCUUCCCACUCCCUGAAACUUCUCUUCAGGGUUCCCGUCAUUGGCUCAAGCUAUGGGAGAGGGCGUGUGAGACCCAGGCCUUCCGGAGGCUUCCAGAGUUAAAGCACUCCCACGGACAGGAGACAGAACUGCCUGUGGAGAAUUGCAUUAUAGCCAAGCGCCGGGAUAUAUAUUUAUCUGUGCCUGACAUUCUCAUCUCUUUUUAAAGGAAAAGCCACACAUUUGGCCAAAAGAUGAAGUGGAAAAAAUGUACUGUUGAACAAAUAUCCAGGAUGGUUGCUCAGAAUGUAUAAAAUGAUGAACUGUGUGGAAAAAUCAUGCCUGUGGCAAAUUGUCAGCAGGCUAUAUUUGGGGGUCCGAAUGCAGGGCCCCUGCCAACUGAGUUCACAGAGCCUUAGUGUUUUUCCACUUCUAUUUAUAGCGAUGCACACAUUCACACACAAAAAAUGCAGGGGACAUUGGACUUCGUUUUUAAAUGAUGAAAAUGUUCGAAAUGUAUCUGGUUUCAGCACGUGAGAGCCGCUCUGCUGUCUACGAUCAGCCUUGCUUACUGAAGAAGGGAUUAAUCAACGUGGGGAAAACAACGUAAUAGGAUCCUUUGGGAAUCUGAAAGUCUGAAAACAACUUUUUUCUCUAUUUCCUUUUUAAAAUGUAAUUCACUUCAACAAAACUUUAUUGAGCACCAACGAUGCAAAAUGUUGAAAUGGACAUCUGAUUGUUGUCUCUCAGCCUCCAUUCCUCCUGCCCCUUUUCCAGCAGCCAUUGCUUCUAGUUGGAGAACCACGUGUUUCCAGUGAGGGAGAUUCUUCUUUCCAGCUUCAGAUGUUGAACACAAGACCUGGCUUGGCCAAUCAGGGCAAGCCAUCCCCCUGGGCACAGUGAUUGGCUCAGGCCCACCCCGAGCUGGACCAAUCAGAGUGAAGAGUGAGACUUUGGCCAGGAAUGCUGAAACAAAGACUGAGCCUUAGUGUUGGAUUUGAAGGAAGAAGCCCCAGGAGCUGCUGAGAGCUGUUUUAUAACCAUGAGCUCAAACUUUAUAGCAAGACAAAGCCAGAAUGUUCAGGUGAAGAAGCAGAGAAUGGCUGUGUGAGUUUCCUAGGCUGUCGGAACAGAGAGCCACAAACUGGGUGUCUUCAAUCCAUACAAAUGUAAUUAUCUCACAGUUCUGGAAGCUGGAAGUCUGAAAUCAAGGUGUCAGCGGGGCUAUGCUUCCUCUAAAGCCUCUAGCCAUGUAAAAUGUGCCUCCUUCGUCUUCUCAUUCUGCCAUGAUUGUAAGUUUCCUGAGGUCUCCCCAGCCACGCUUCCUGAACAGCCUGCGGAACGUUAAUCGCCAGACAAUCCAGAUGAUGCUCCUGCUACAAUGACGCAAUGAUACCAACCCGUCUCUCAAGAACGCCCCCAAAAAUUAAAGUUUUCUUUUUCCAAGGUGCCCAUGCCACCCCCUGUGUCACGCCUGAAGUAGUUAUUGAGCCCAGUCCCAAGGCACAAGACCACUUGUGCCAGCAGCCAGCAGCGUGCAUCAGCAAGACAGCAGAAGCAGGAAGACAGCCUGCUGGAAGACACUUACCCUGGCCGGAAGACAUGUACCCCUGAAGAUGGAGAAAGAGGCCUUCCGGGUACUACGUAGCAGUCACGUCAGACCGGGACACUUCCUGUUUAGAGAGGACUAUAAAACUCCGGUCCGGUAAUCACUUGGGGCUGACGCCAUUUUAGGCCUCAUCCCGCCUGCACCCAGGCACUCAUUAAAACAGCGUGUUGCCCCACACUGCCUCGUGUUGUCUGUUGGUGCGCUCUCGGGGUUCAAACCGAUACAAGAACCUUUCAAAUGGUAGUAAGAUUAAAGGUUUUUACUAAGUUAUUAAUAACAAAAAAGGCACAGAUCUUAAAUGUGCAGUUAUGAAUUUUGGCAAUUGUAUACAUUCAUGUAAUCACUACCCACAACAAAAAUAGAAUGUUUCCACCACCACAAAAAGUUUGCAACACCCCUGUACCUCUUUCUAGUGCAUUUCCAAUCAUGUCCUCAUACCUACCUACCCCACAACCAUUUUUUAAUCUCUUCCAGAGCUAACGCUUAAUACAUUGAAUUUUACAUAAUCUUAGGAUAGACUGUCCCACAUAAAGGAGACUAUCUGCAAUAAUUUAUGUUGGAAGAAUAAGAUAUUGAUGUCAAUUAAUACAUUUUGUGUCCUGGUUUAAAAAUGCUCCUACUAUUAAUUAAAAUUUUAAAGACAUUUUCUUGUGAAAGUAUAAAGGGAUACUUUUUUCUAUUUUGAACAUUAUGAGUUCAAAAGUUCAUUCUGAUAGAAAAUUUUAUUUUGUGUG
rnacentral:lncRNA from 1 species